UUAAGGUAUGGAGAUUUAACGCCGACUGGAGUUUACGGUAAGCUAGUGGGUGGCUUGUGUGCAUUAAUUGGUGUAUUGACACUUGCCUUACCCGUACCUAUUAUUGUAAGUAUU
rfam:Loa loa cont3.576, whole genome shotgun sequence.